rnacentral:rRNA from 1 species
UCCGUAGGCGGAUUGAUAAGUCAGAGGUGAAAUCCCACAGCUCAACUGUGGAACUGCCUUUGAUACUGUUAGUCUUGAGUCAUAUGAAGUAGAUAGAAUGUGUAGUGUAGCGGUGAAAUGCAUAGAGAUUACACAGAAUACCGAUUGCGAAGGCAGUCUACUACGUAUGUACUGACGCUAAUGGACGAAAGCGUGGGGAGCGAACAGGAUUAGAUACCCUGGUAGUCC